CCUACGGGCGGCAGCAGUGGGGAAUAUUGGACAAUGGGGGCAACCCUGAUCCAGCCAUGCCGCGUGUGUGAAGAAGGCCCUCGGGUUGUAAAGCACUUUCAGUGAGGAAGAACGCCUGGUGGUUAAUACCCAUCAGGAAAGACAUCACUCACAGAAGAAGCACCGGCUAACUCCGUGCCAGCAGCCGCGGUAAUACGGAGGGUGCGAGCGUUAAUCGGAAUUACUGGGCGUAAAGCGCGCGUAGGCGGCUUGAUAAGCCGGUUGUGAAAGCCCCGGGCUCAACCUGGGAACGGCAUCCGGAACUGUCAAGCUAGAGUGCAGGAGAGGAAGGUAGAAUUCCCGGUGUAGCGGUGAAAUGCGUAGAGAUCGGGAGGAAUACCAGUGGCGAAGGCGGCCUUCUGGACUGACACUGACACUGAGGUGCGAAAGCGUGGGUAGCAAACAGGAUUAGAUACCCUUGUAGUC
rnacentral:rRNA from 1 species